CCUACGGGAGGCAGCAGUGGGGAAUUUUGGACAAUGGGCGCAAGCCUGAUCCAGCAAUGCCGCGUGAGUGAAGAAGGCCUUCGGGUUGUAAAGCUCUUUUGUCAGGGAAGAAACGGUGAGGGCUAAUAUCCCUUGCUAAUGACGGUACCUGAAGAAUAAGCACCGGCUAACUACGUGCCAGCAGCCGCGGUAAUACGUAGGGUGCAAGCGUUAAUCGGAAUUACUGGGCGUAAAGCGUGCGCAGGCGGUUUUGUAAGUCUGUCGUGAAAUCCCCGGGCUCAACCUGGGAAUUGCGAUGGAGACUGCAAGGCUAGAAUCUGGCAGAGGGGGGUAGAAUUCCACGUGUAGCAGUGAAAUGCGUAGAGAUGUGGAGGAACACCGAUGGCGAAGGCAGCCCCCUGGGUCAAGAUUGACGCUCAUGCACGAACGACGGUGGGAGGACGAACGAGGAGUAGUAUACCCGUACGGUAGUACCGACCGACCCGUAACCGACGUAGUCUACUAGUUGUUCGGGUUUUAACGUUUAACGUUAGGUUAACGU
rnacentral:rRNA from 1 species